rnacentral:rRNA from 1 species
UGCUGCUUCGCUGACGAGUGGCGGACGGGUGAGUAAUGUCUGGGAAACUGCCUGAUGGAGGGGGAUAACUACUGGAAACGGUGGCUAAUACCGCAUAACGUCGCAAGACCAAAGAGGGGGACCUUCGGGCCUCUUGCCAUCAGAUGUGCCCAGAUGGGAUUAGCUAGUUGGUGAGGUAACGGCUCACCAAGGCGACGAUCCCUAGCUGGUCUGAGAGGAUGACCAGCCACACUGGAACUGAGACACGGUCCAGACUCCUACGGGAGGCAGCAGUGGGGAAUAUUGCACAAUGGGCGCAAGCCUGAUGCAGCCAUGCCGCGUGUAUGAAGAAGGCCUUCGGGUUGUAAAGUACUUUCAGCGGGGAGGAAGGUGUUGUGGUUAAUAACCGCAGCAAUUGACGUUACCCGCAGAAGAAGCACCGGCUAACUCCGUGCCAGCAGCCGCGGUAAUACGGAGGGUGCAAGCGUUAAUCGGAAUUACUGGGCGUAAAGCGCACGCAGGCGGUCUGUCAAGUCGGAUGUGAAAUCCCCGGGCUCAACCUGGGAACUGCAUUCGAAACUGGCAGGCUUGAGUCUUGUAGAGGGGGGUAGAAUUCCAGGUGUAGCGGUGAAAUGCGUAGAGAUCUGGAGGAAUACCGGUGGCGAAGGCGGCCCCCUGGACAAAGACUGACGCUCAGGUGCGAAAGCGUGGGGAGCAAAACAGAUUAGAUACCCUGGUAGUCCACGCCGUAAACGAUGUCUACUUGGAGGUUGUGCCCUUGAG